CUUUUCGAGGUAGGAGUCGACUCCUGUGAGGUAUGGUGCUGGGUGCAGAUGCAGUGUGGCUCUGGAUAGCACCUUAUGGACAGUUGUGUCCCCAAGGAAGGAUGAGAAUAGCUACUGAAGUCCUAAAGAGCAAGCCUAACUCAAGCCAUUGGCACACAGGUGGAGUCCAACUUGCCUGGACCAGCUUAAUGGUUCUGCUCCUGGUAACGUUUUUAUCCAUGGAUGACUUGCUUGGGUAAGGACAUGAAGACAGUUCCUGUCAUACCUUUUAAAGGUAUGGAGAGUCGGCUUGACUACACUGUGUGGAGCAAGUUUUAAAGAAGCAAAGGACUCAGAAUUCAUGAUUGAAGAAAUGCAGGCAGACCUGUUAUCCUAAACUAGGGUUUUUAAUGACCACAACAAGCAAGCAUGCAGCUUACUGCUUGAAAGGGUCUUGCCUCACCCAAGCUAGAGUGCAGUGGCCUUUGAAGCUUACUACAGCCUCAAACUUCUGGGCUCAAGUGAUCCUCAGCCUCCCAGUGGUCUUUGUAGACUGCCUGAUGGAGUCUCAUGGCACAAGAAGAUUAAAACAGUGUCUCCAAUUUUAAUAAAUUUUUGCAAUCCA
rnacentral:lncRNA from 1 species